CGGGCGUGCCUAACACAUGCAAGUCGAACGAAGCACCUGAACGGAUUUCUUCGGAUUGAAGUUCUUGUGACUGAGUGGCGGACGGGUGAGUAACGCGUGGGUAACCUGCCUCAUACAGGGGGAUAACAGUUAGAAAUGACUGCUAAUACCGCAUAAGCGCACAGCUUCGCAUGAAGCAGUGUGAAAAACUCCGGUGGUAUGAGAUGGACCCGCGUCAGAUUAGCUAGUUGGCAGGGUAACGGCCUACCAAGGCGACGAUCUGUAGCCGGCCUGAGAGGGUGACCGGCCACAUUGGGACUGAGAUACGGCCUAGACUCCUACGGGAGGCAGCAGUGGGGAAUAUUGCACAAUGGGCGGAAGCCUGAUGCAGCAACGCCGCGUGCGGGAUGACGGCCUUCGGGUUGUAAACCGCUUUCGCCUGUGACGAAGCGUGAGUGACGGUAAUGGGUAAAGAAGCACCGGCUAACUACGUGCCAGCAGCCGCGGUGAUACGUAGGGUGCGAGCGUUGUCCGGAUUUAUUGGGCGU
rnacentral:rRNA from 1 species